rnacentral:rRNA from 1 species
AGAGAGAGACAUGCGCGCAUAUCAAUAAGCGGAGGAAAAGAAACUAACAAGGAUUCCCUUAGUAACGGCGAGUGAAGCGGGAAGAGCUCAAAUUUGAAAUCUUCAAGGUUCUACCUUGACGAAUUGUAGUUUAGAGAAGUGUUUUCUGCUGAAGUUUUGGUAAAAGUUCUUUGGAAUAGGACAUCAUAGAGGAGGGUGAGAAUCCCGUAUUUGACCAUUAUUUUCAGCUUUGUGAUACACUUUCAAAGAGUCGGAUUGUUUGGGAAUGCAGUCCAAAAUGGGUGGUAAAUUUCAUCUAAAGCUAAAUAUUGGCGAGAGACCGAUAGCGAACAAGUACCGUGAGGGAGAAGAUGAAAAGAACUUUGAAAAGAGAGUUAAACAGUACGUGAAAUUGUCAAAAGGGAAGCGUUUGACACCAGUGUUGUUUUCUCGAAAAUCAAUUAAAAAUGGCUCGACUUUGUAUUGUUGAGACCUUAAAAGCUCACUGUACAUUUUUCGUGUCUUUUUUAAUGCACUUUUCGUUUAACAAGUCAACAUCAGUUUCUUUUGUUGUAAAAGGGUCAUUGGAAGGUGGCUUUCUUUUCGGAGAAAGUGUUUAUAGCCUUUGGCCUCUGCAAUCGGAGAGACUGAGGUCUGCAGCGUAGACUCUUCGGGGUUAGAUACAUUUGUGCUAAGUUAUAGCUUUUAUAGACAACUUGUUGACUAUGAUUAGUCAUUGUCAGCUUACUCGCUUAUGCUAUUUUACCUACGCUUAGGAUGUUGAGUCGUAGAGCACGCAG